UACGGAGGGUGCAAGCGUUAUCCGGAUUCACUGGGUUUAAAGGGAGCGUAGGUGGGCUUGUAAGUCAGCGGUGAAAUCCCCGAGCUUAACUUGGGAACUGCCAUUGAUACUACAAGUCUUGAAUUCUGUGGAGGUAAGCGGAAUAUAUCAUGUAGCGGUGAAAUGCUUAGAUAUGAUAUAGAACACCGAUAGCGAAGGCAGCUUACUACGCAGAUAUUGACACUGAGGCUCGAAAGCGUGGGGAUCAAACAGG
rnacentral:rRNA from 1 species